UAACGCGUGGGUAACCUGCCUUACANUGGGGGAUAACACUUAGAAAUAGGUGCUAAUACCGCAUAAGCGCACGAAGCCGCAUGGAUUUGUGUGAAAAACUCCGGUGGUGUAAGAUGGACCCGCGUCUGAUUAGCUUGUUGGCGGGGUAACGGCCCACCAAGGCGACNAUCAGUAGCCGACCUGAGAGGGUGGACGGCCACAUUGNGACUGAGACACGGCCCAAACUCCUACGGGAGGCANCAGUGGGGGAUAUUGGACAAUGGGGGGAACCCUGAUCCAGCGACGCCGCGUGAGUGAAGAAGUAUUUCGGUAUGUAAAGCUCUGUCAGCANGNAANAAAGAAAUGACGGUACCUGACCAAGAAGCCCCGGCUAACUACGUGCCAGCAGCCGCGGUAAUACGUAGGGGGCAAGCGUUAUCCGGAAUUACUGGGUGUAAAGGGAGCGUAGACGGUUAAGUAAGUCUGGAGUGAAAGGCCGGGGCCCAACCCCGGGACUGCUCUGGAAACUAUUCAACUUGAGUGCAGGAGAGGUAAGCGGAAUUCCUAGUGUAGCGGUGAAAUGCGUAGAUAUUAGGAGGAACACCAGUGGCGAAGGCGGCUUGCUGGACAGUAACUGACGUUGAGGCUCGAAAGCGUGGGGAGCAAACAGGAUUANAUACCCUNGUAG
rnacentral:rRNA from 1 species